rnacentral:snoRNA from 1 species
GCGCCUGAAUCUUUCCUUCCUGUGCAGUGCAGGUCUGGGGACAGUUGGUGCGACAGCACAAAUCCAGAUGGCUUGUUUUCCGCUGGUUUGGAGCUCAUCUCCGAACACCUCUGCAACAUUG